rnacentral:lncRNA from 1 species
ACAAAGAUAAAAUAUUGUUAUUAAAGUAUUUUUAGUUAAUUAUAAUAAUUAUCCUAAAAUUUUAAUUAUUUUUUUUUGUAUCCAAAAUAUUUCGUAUUAGUCAUUGAAAUAUAUUAAUGAUUGUCAAAUUUCUUUUUUUUUUCAAAAUUCAAAUAUAACCAUUUCUAGAUAUAUAUGGAUCUCUAUAAUUUUGCAUUAAUUAUGCUAUUGAUAAAAUAUUAUUCUUUUUUUAUAGGUAAUUCAAAUUGAUAAAGAUUGGAAUAAUUUUGAAACCUCUUUUCAUAUACUAUUUUUUAUUCUGAUUAAAA